GCGGCACCCUGUGGCAUAUGGAGGGUCCCAGGCUAGGGGUCGAAUUAGAGCUACAGCUGCCGGUCUAUACCACAGCCACAGCAACAUCAGAUCCAAGCCAUGUCUUUGACUUAUACCAUAGCUCACGGCAACGCUGGAUCCUUAAGCCACCGAGUGAGGCCAGGGAUCGAACCUGCAUCCUCAGGAUGUUAGAUUCAUUUCCAUUGAGCCACGACAGGAACUCCUAUACCGAGUAUUUUCAUUGACAUUAUUAACACCAUUAUGACUGAAUGGGUUUUUCAAAUACCUUAUAAAAAACGGAGAUGGGCCAGUAAAAGUUGUGAGGCCUCACUCCUACCCUCCCAACAUGGUAGUGUUGAACAAAGAAGAGAAAAACAAUGACUUGUCCCUCAGCCAUAGCCCCCACGCCCCAGCAGCCUUCAGGCCGGCUUGAAACCGACAGUUAUCCAGAGGUGUGGUGGUAAAAGGUAUGAGAUAGGAAAUAUCUCACCUUUUGGAGAAAAGAGGGGGACAGGCAAUUUAUGCCCAUGCCAAAAACUUACCCUCCCCCAUUUUAUAAUGGUGCCAUAUUUAGUUGUUUUUCUUAUUAAAAAUGAACACAUGCCCAUAAAAAUGCAACUUAUGUCCAGGUCUAUAAAGGAGAGGAGGGCCAAUUGAACUUGAGCUGGUGCCUAUCAGAAGUUGUAACCUCGUCAGAAAGAGGGGGACAAAGAAGCUUUUAUUUUGCUUGACACAGAUUUAAUAACAUCCCUGGAGAAACCGGUUGCAGUGUUAGAGAAUACUGUCUAAUUGCUGGGAAGGAUGUGACUGUUAAAGAUUUAAAUUAGGCAAAGCAACGGGCCCCGUGGUAGGUCCUCAGUAAAUGGUCACUGCUAUUUUCAACACUGUUUUCUUAAACACCCUCGGUAGAGUAUGCACUCCUGUGAAACAAACUUAAUUGAAUAGUGCCCUCCAGAGGCCACGGGGAUUCAACUGUGCUGACAGUUGGAAAAGACCAAAGAGAAACUCAGUUGUACGAGGACAAGGAAAUCAAGUGGAAACAAGCCUAGUUAGGCACCGUGGGAACGAGUGCUGGGAACUGCAAGUCCCCGAGCCCCUGGGAGCUCCUGUCCCAUCCCUCUCUCUCUGGGGACACUGUCUCUUGGCCCUGCAUCUCCACUCUGUGUUGCUCUAAUGGAACAUCAUCCUCUAGAAGUCUGCCCUUUUGUGACUUCAAGCAUGUAGCUCUGGCUCUGCCUGGACAUGAUUCUGGACUUGAGUCCGUUUGACCUUUCAGCUCAUCUCAAAGAACUAAGCAGAUUCAUCUCCGCUGGUUUGACUCCAGAGUCCCAGGACACAAACUAAUUACCAGUCUAGAGGUUGGGUUUACCUUAUCCAUCUCUGAUGCUGGAGGAAGGGGUGUGUGUGUGUGUGUGUGUGUGUGUGUGUGUGUGUGUAGGAGGAGGGAGAUAGGGCCAGGGUCACCUAGUACACAACAGAUAUAGCACACAGAGAAUAUAAAAACUAUAAGAGGCAUUUCAAAUAAUCUCCUAACAGUGAGCUAAUAUUGAUAGUGUUUACCAUGCACCAUCCAUCCUACUAAGAGCCUUAAAACAAUCAUCUCAUUUAAUCUCACAACCGUCCCAUGAAAUUUGAUCCUAUUAUCAUCUCCCACCUUCACAAGGAACUGUUGGUAACAAUGGUUGUAUAUACUUCAGUAAUCUGUUCAGUGCAUUUUAUUCUUAUUUUACAGAUGAGUGAACAGAGGCUUAGAGAGGUAGAGUUUAUUACCUGACUGGGGAGAGAUGAGAUUUACACAUGUGAAAUGAUGACUAAAUGACACGGGAGUGAUUAAGUGCCAAAUUGUGUGUUGCCACUGUAUUCAUUUUCAUUGCUGUGUAACACAUCCCCACAAAUAUAGAAGCUUUGGGGCAAGCCCAUAGGUCAAAUGUACAGCACCGAACAAUGGGGCUUUCUGCUGGGUGUUUCAUGAGACUGACAUCAAGGUGUUGGCUGGGGCGGCCAACAAUCUCAUCUGGGGCUCAGGGGCCUCUUCCAGGCUCGUUGGUUGUUGGCAGAGUUUAGUGCUCUCAGUUUUAGGAUGGCGAUCCCCAUUUUCCUGCUAGUCGUCAGUCACCAACUGCUCGCAGGUCCUAGAGUGGCACCUUUCCACGGCCAGUUCACACCAUGAGUAUUUGCUUUCCUUCGGGGCAGCUGGAGCACAUCCCCUUGGCUGCCCCUUCUGCUAUUAGCCAGACAACGCUCUCUGCUUUUCAAGGACUCCUGUGAUAAGGUCAGGCCCACCCUUCUUAAAGUCAACUGUGAUGUGAUAUAAUCGUAUCAUGACAGUAAAAUCCAUCCAAUUCACAGUCCGGGGGAUACCGGGCUGUGUACAAGGUGGGAGUGUGUGAAAUCCUGGGUGCCGUCUUAGAAUCCUGUGUAUUAUACCCCUGAAAAUAGAUUUUGUAUGCGCAGGUCAGAGCUAUUCCCAGGAGGGGGAGAAGGAAAGGUUUGUGUGUGUGUCUUGGUGGGGGUUAGGGUUGGACUGGGCGUUGGGCCUUGAAGGAUGGACCAUGCUGGAAAAGACAGCAUUCCUCUGAGAUGACGGCCUUAGAAACUCAACACCAUCAUUCAAGAUAAUUUGGGGAAAUCAAUGGGUAAGAAUUUCAAACAAUAUUAGAAAAAAAUUUCAGCACCAAGAUCAAGGAGGAAGCUGGUACUACUAGAUGUUAUGACAUGAUCAAAAUACUAAGUGAUGAGCAUGAAAAUAGACAUAUAGAUGAGAACAAAAACAGAACACCUCAAAAGAGAAAUGUAUUAUAUAUGUAUGUGUAUCAGAAUAAAUCAAGCGUCACAAAUGAACUGAAGAAAAUUGAUUAUUAAAAAAUGAUGUUUGGAUAACUACACAGAAACUUGGAAAAAAAAAGAGACAAAAUUUCCACUAUAAUUUGAAUAAUUCCACAAUUAUUCAAAAUAAAUGCCAGUGAAAUUAAAAUGUAAAUUAUAAAGAUAGAUUUAAAAUGCAAUCAUGAAAAUUGGGAGAAGAGAGUUUCAGGUCUUUGGGAGGAUAAGGACAUCCUAAGAUUAAAGCAGAUUAAAUUGCAAAGACAAUUACAAAGAACAAACUCAAACUCAUCCACAGAAAGAGUUAAAAUUUCUACACAGUAGUAACACAAAUUUAUUAAAAGAUUAAGGGGGGGACUUUUAACUGCAUAGGGAUUAAAAGAUUAAGACCUAUAAUAUCUAAACACAUAUUCCAAUGCUGAAGAUUAGAACUCCCACAAAGAGUAGACAAAAGACAUGAAUAGGUGAUUUAGACAACAGGUAAAAUAAGCUAGGAAAAAAAAAAAAAACUGGCGGAAAACUGUCAAAUUCUCUGAUUAAGUCAAUGCAAAUUAAAACUAUAAAAGUGAUCCCUAUUUCAAUGAAUUUAGUUCAGUUCUAUUAAACAUAAUUUUAAAUCAUAAAACCCAGUCCUGAAAUGAUCCUUGUACAGUGCACUCACACAUUUUUGGUAAAAGUAUAAUUGGGGCAAGCCAUUUGUGAAAAGAAAUUUGGUAAAAUGUCCUUCGAUGUAGUACCUUCAUUCUAGGAAAUCUGUCCCAGGAGCAUGAUUCAAAUGGCAAAAAAGUCCUGGUCACAAGCAUUUUAAAUGCAGGAUUACACAUAAUAUUGAAUAACCGAGAAUAACAGAAAGAGCAUACUUAACCUUUUAAAUUGUCAUUGAUGAUUGUGCUUAUGAAGACUAUUAAGGUGGAACGUGUUUGAAUACGUUACGUGGAAAAAGAUACUACUGAAUUCUGCCUAGAGGAUAACUCAAUAUUUUAAAAGUGUUUCUAUGGUAUUGGUGAAAUUAUCAGAAAAACAGUACUUUUACAUACUGUCAUUAGAAACACAAAUUAGUAUACCUUCUUGGGCAAAACAAUCUGCAAUGAGUAAAAUAUUUUAAACGCGAUGUGUGGAGUUCCCUUCAUGGCUCAGGGGUUAAUGAACCUGACUAGGAUCCAUGAGGUUGCGGGUUCCAUCCCUGGCCUCGCUCAGUGGGUUAAGGAUCCCGGUGUUGCCGUGAGCUGUGGUGCAGGCCACAGAUGGGGCUUGGAUCUGGCACUGCUGUGGCUGUGGUGUAGGCUGGCAGCUGUCGCUCUGUUUCAAUCCCUAGCCUGGGAGCUUCCAUAUGCUGCAGGUAUGGCCCUAAAAAGCAAAAAAUUAAACAAAACAAAAUAAAAUUAAAAAAAUAAAAAAUUAAAUGUGAUUUGUUUGCAGAUUCCACUUCUAGGACUGUAUCCUUCACAUAAACGUGCAUGUACACACAUAGAGACAUGUGAAUGUACGAUUUAUUGUAGAAUUGUUGACACAGCAAAGAUUGUACAAUGAAAAUGCCCACUGAUUGGUGACUAGGUAAAUAAAUCACAUUAGAACCUUUUAGUGGGAUAUUAUACCGUUGUUAAAAAGAAAAAGAGGGAAAACGAUAUGUUCUUCUGAUUGAAACAAUCUCUAAUAUAGGUUUUUAAAUUUAAAAAAAAUAGUUAAGAUGCAGAAUAAUGUGGAGACGGUGUGCCCCCAUUUGUAUAAAAGAAAAAUAACACAGAGAACCUGUAUAUGCUUAGAGAAUUCUUGGAAAGAUA
rnacentral:lncRNA from 1 species